CGAGCCACGAUCUUACCUGUAUUUAUAAAAAGUGUUACGCUGCAGAAAUCAAACGUUCACUCGCAUUAUUUUGAAUUUAUGUUGGGAUUGAGGCGUGUCAUAUUCAUUUACGAGUAUGUACACACAUCUUUUGCGCUCCUAACCAUUGCAAAUGUCGUACAUUACAUACACGGAUACAUUCAAACGGGUGCUCAUAUAUAUAAAAUUAAAUAAUUAAUGAUUAUAUAUACUGUCCUCGCCAUUGCCCAUUAGUAUUAUUUAGCAGGUGCACCGUGGGGCAGCACUUUUUCUCAAUAAAUUUACUAACAGCAUUAAACGUUACAUUGGGGCUGGUGAUAAACAAUUUGCUAAAACGCCCAUAACCAUGAAACCGUAUUGAUUGAGAUAUUGUCGAAGGAUUGCUUACGUAAAUUAUAUAUCUAUAUGUAUUGAGCGCAAUUAGAAACAACAUUGUAGGACAACAUUACGACAUGGUGUUUUGCAAAACCAAAAGUUUUGGCUGCAUUCAGUGCUGCCACUGUGUGUUCGACCGAGGGAGGCACUAUGGAAAAUUUUUAUCCAUCUGAUCAGUAUCAGAGGUCAUGUUGUACAACUACUGUUCUUCCUUGCACGGCGAAUGCAAAACUGAAAAGCGUAUAAAUAUUGUCAAGCAAACCCAUGCUAGCUGUUGUAUUUAUAUAUUGUAGCCUUCUUUUACAGCUAGCUAUUUAGGACACCUGAAAGGUCACAUUUAUCUCCAUCGCAUUUACAGUACCGGGAACCAACAUGGUAUCAUUAAAACUUCUCAUAGUUCUGACUGUUUGCAUCACAGGACUUUGUGCACACCCACUCGGAGAAACUGCGUAUGCUGCGGAUGUGUCCAGCUAUGCGGACCGUGGCUCCAGCUCUUCUAUGAGCGGAGGAAGUCAUAGCGACCCGCGUACGAACUGCCGCACAUUUCGCAAAGAGGGCAUGAACUGCGAAGAGUGCACUACGCUCGACGGAAACACAAGCAGGAAACACACAAAGUGCAAGUCAUAAUCUCGGCGGAGAAUUCCAUGCGUAUUACUACUGAACUACUUCUGUUCAGAAAUUGAUUGUCUGCGAAAUAAAUUUACCAUUCAACUGCUGACUGGGUGUUUUUGCAAAUAAAAACUUGUUUCUUAUGAUAGGUGGUUUUCUUGUGAAAGCUAUUGAUAAAGUUUCUGGCCUAGUUUUUUUCGGGUAAAGAAAUUUUUAAAAAAUUUCGCUGGAUCGGUAAGCUUAUUGCACAUUAUAAAAAGUACUGUACCUUCCUGCGAUUUCCUUGUAUAAGUUAUUGUUAGCUGCUAUGUACUAUAGUGCACCCUUGCCGAUUGCGCGAUUGCUGUUGCAAAGUAGAUCAUGAAAUUAAUUUACUCACAGGAUACAUCAGCUGUCAUACUUUAUCGGUGGACAUAAAUUCAUUUCGAAAGAGAA